rnacentral:rRNA from 1 species
CCGCGGUAAUAAGUAGGGGGCGAGCGUUGUCCGGAAAUUACUGGGCGUAAAGGGGGUGUAGGCCGGCUUGUUAAGUCAGGUGUGAAAUUCCGGGGCUCAACCUCGGUACUGCGCCUUGAAACUGGCGAGCUAGAGGGCCGGAGAAGGGAAGUGGAAUUCCCGGUGUAGCGGUGAAAUGCGUAGAUAUCGGGAGGAACCACAGUGGCGAAGGCGGCUUCCUGGACUGUAUCCUGACGGUGAGGCGCGAAAGCUAGGGGAGCAAACCGGAUUAGAUACCCUGGUAGUUCCUAGCCGUAAACGAUGAAUUCUAGGUGUGGGGGGUUAAAGCCCUCCGUGCCGCAGUUAACACAAUAAGCAC